rnacentral:rRNA from 1 species
GAGUUUGAUCCUGGCUCAGGAUGAACGCUGGCGGCGUGCUUAACACAUGCAAGUCGAACGAAGCGCCUUAUUUGAUUUUUCUUCGGAACUGAAGAUUUGGUGACUGAGUGGCGGACGGGUGAGUAACGCGUGGGUAACCUGCCCUGUACAGGGGGAUAACAAUCGGAAAUGACUGCUAAUACCGCAUAAGACCACAGCACCGCAUGGUGCAGGGUAAAAAACUCCGGUGGUACAGGAGUCGGACCCGCGUCUAG